UACGUAGGGGGCAAGCGUUGUCCGGAAUCAUUGGGCGUAAAGCGCGUGUAGGCGGCUUGGUAAGUCUGCUCUGAAAGCCCGGGGCUCAACCCUGGGAGGCGGGUGGAUACUGCUGAGCUCGAGUCCGGAAGAGGCGAGUGGAAUUCCUGGUGUAGCGGUGAAAUGCGCAGAUAUCAGGAGGAACACCAGUGGCGAAGGCGGCUACCUGGACCGGUUCUGACGCUGAGGCGCGAAAGCGUGGGUAGCAAACAGG
rnacentral:rRNA from 1 species